AGAAUCAACGCUGGCGGCGUGCCUAACACAUGCAAGUCGAACGAGAAAGUGGAGCAAUCCAUGAGUAAAGUGGCGACCGGGUGAGUAACACGUGACUAACCUACCUUCGAGUGGGGGAUAACCUCGGGAAACCGAGGCUAAUACCGCAUAACAUCGCAAGAUCAAAGCAGCAAUGCGCUGGAAGAGGGGGUCGCGGCUGAUUAGCUAGUUGGCGGGGUAAUGGCCCACCAAGGCGAAGAUCGGUAGCCGGCCUGAGAGGGCGCACGGGCCACACUGGAACUGAAACACGGUCCAGACUCCUACGGGAGGCAGCAGUGGGGAAUUUUGCGCAAUGGGGAAACCCUGACGCAGCAACGCCGCGUGGAGGAUGAAGCCCCUUGGGGUGUAAACUCCUUUCGACCAAGACGAUAAUGACGGUACUGGUGGAAGAAGCACCGGCUAACUCUGCGCCAGCAGCCGC
rnacentral:rRNA from 1 species